rnacentral:rRNA from 1 species
UGGCUGCAGUCGAGAAUCUUCGGCAAUGGGCGCAAGCCUGACCGAGCGACGCCGCGUGGAGGAUGAAGGCCCUUGGGUUGUAAACUCCUGUCAGAGGGGAUGAAGUGCGGGUGGGUUCUCCCAUCCGUUUGACAUAGCCUCAGAGGAAGCACGGGCUAAGUUCGUGCCAGCAGCCGCGGUAAGACGAACCGUGCAAACGUUAUUCGGAAUCACUGGGCUUAAAGAGUUCGUAGGCGGCCAUGCAGGUGAGAUGUGAAAUCCCUCGUCUCAACCGAGGAAUUGCGUUUCAAACCGCAUGGCUAGAAGGAGACAGAGGUAAGCGGAACUGAUGGUGGAGCGGUGAAAUGCGUUGAUAUCAUCAGGAACACCAGUGGCGAAGGCGGCUUACUGGGUCUCUCUUGACGCUGAGGAACGAAAGCUAGGGGAGCAAACGGGAUUAGAUACCCCGGUAGUCCUAGCUGUAAACGAUGAGUACUAGAUCGUGGGGUCCUCCAUAGCCUUUCAGACGUAGCGAAAGUGUUAAGUGCUCCGCCUGGGGGGUAUGGUCGCAAGGCUGAAACUCAAAGAAAUUGACGGGGGCUCACACA